rnacentral:tRNA from 1 species
GUGACUAUGGUGUAGUGGUAACACAACGGUCUGUGGAUCCGUUAUCGCCGGUUCGAAUCCGGCUAGUCACC